GACCGUGCAAAGGUAGCAUAAUCAUUUGCCUUAUAAUUGAAGGCUAGUAUGAAUGGUUUGACGAGAAUUAAGCUGUCUCUUUUCAAUUAAAUAAAAUUUUAUUAGCAGGUGAAGAAGCCUACAUUAUAUUGAAAGACAAGAAGACCCUAUCGAGCUUUAAAUAAUUUAAUAAGUUAGUCAUAUAUUUAUAGAAAAAUUAAGUUAUUAAAAAUUUUAGUUGGGGCGACUGAGGAACAAACAAAGCUUCCUUAUAAUUAUAAAAACAUACAAGUAUUGAUCCAAUAACUUUGAUUAAAGGAAUUAGUUACCGUAGGGAUAACAGCAUAAUCCUCUUUGAGAGCCCGCAUCGAAAAGGGGGUUUGUGACCUCGAUGUUGGACCAGAAUAUCCAGAAGAUGCAGCCGUCUUCAAUGGUUGGUCUGUUCGACCAUUAAAAUUCUACGUGAUCUGAGUUCAGACCGGCGUGAGCCAGGUCAGUUUCUAUCUUCAAUUAUUAAAAUGACCUUAGUACGAAAGGACCAGGUUAUUACACUAUAUUGUUAUAAAGUAGAUUAAAUAUAAAUAACUAUUAAUUUGUUAAUCAAAUUAGCAAAGAUAAAUGCAAUUGACUUAGGAUCAAUAGACAUAGGUGAAAUCCCUUUAUUUGAUAAACUUUAAGAGAUAUAAAGAUGGCAGAAAAA
rnacentral:rRNA from 1 species